GGCCAGAUUAGAUACCAUCCGUAGUCUUAACCAUAAACUAUGCCGACUAGAGAUUGGGGGUUGUUCCUUACCAA
rnacentral:rRNA from 1 species